rnacentral:lncRNA from 1 species
UUUUUUUCUCUUUUCUGUUCUUUUUUUUGCUUUUAUUAGCUCAUUCACCUACAAAAACCACACAACAUAUAAUCAAACAAAUAUCUAACUAAAAUAGAAAUUAAUGCUAAUCAAGUCCUACAAAGUAAAAUUAAAGAUCAUAAUUAACACUUUUAUGGUGUAAUAUAAUCCCUAGUUUUAUAACUCAGUACACCCCAAUCAUAGUUAUAAAAAUUGACCUAAAUCGCCGGUUGAACCGUUUCAAUUGGGAACCGAAACCAUGAACCGUAGGUUUAAUAAUUAAUUUAUUGAAAUGCAAUAUAAACGGAUUGCACCGGCCGAACCGGCCACGGUAUUUGAAAAACUAUUGAACCGACCGGUAUUUAGUGAACCCAGGCUGAUUUUUACAAAAAGUAAAAAAAACACAAUAUUUAGUGGCCUGGUGUUUUUAAUUUUUAUUUUUGGUUGUUUUGGUUUUGAUUUGUGUAUUUUUUUGGCUAUUAAUUUUUUUAACCUUUUCUUUUUAUAAAAAUAAAAAAUUGAGUUCAUUCCAAAAAUAAAAUGUCCCCAUCCCUAUUUUUACCAUCUUUCUUCUAUCUCAAAUUCCUCUAUCGACAUCCUUCUUCAUCAAAAAAUACUCUAAUUUCCCCAACUAAACAAAUACAUGAUCCCAAAAUAAAAGGGGUAUUAAAAUUAAAAAAUAAAAAAUAAGACCAACACAAAUAUGCACAUUAUUAUCUUAAUAAUACACAUUAUUUACAAACUUUUAUGUUUUUUUAAAAUAUAAAAAUACUAAUAAGUAAAGCUUAAAAAUAUUAAAUUAAAAGAAACAGAAGUCCUCUUUGAAUAUUUUUAUAAUUAUAUUUUUUUUACUUUUUUUUUAAUAGUAUUUAUUAUUUGUACUUAUGUUGAAAUUAUUGUAUAAAAAAGAGGUAUCUUUUAAAACGACACCCAUUAGAAUUUUUUAAUAAUUAUUUUUAUUUAAAUAUAUUUUAAUUUUAUAUUAUAUUAUAUAACCGGUUGAACCACGAUUGAACCAGUGAACUAUUGAACCGAUACCUUGACCAGUUCAAUCGCCGGUUCGGUUCUGAUAACUAUGCACCCCAUGCAGUCACCCCAUAUUUAUCAUAUUUUUCAUCUUUUUCUUUCAUUGCCAUCUUCUAUGUAUUAAAAUUAAACUCUAUAAACCCAACUAUUAGCUAGAAAGCAAAUUAUGAGGGGGUUGAAAUAAGUUUGCUACAGUUAAAUGAUUAAUUAAAAUUUAUGUAAACAAUGGAUUAACUAUGCACUCUAAUCUAUGCUAAGUAUAUAAGCAAUUAAAGAUAAGAGAGAAAAUAGUGCAAACGAUUUAUAGUGGUCCGGUGAACCUUUGCUAACGUCCACUCUCCACUAUCUUCUUGGAUGCCCAUUAUCUUCAAGCUUGCGGGUGCUUGAAAAUCUUUACAAUCACUAGAAUACUUCUGGUCUUUAAAAUAAUCCCUCUCUUAGAAUUUAUGCAAUCACUUAAAGCGAUUCUCUCAAAAAGAAGUAAUUGUAGUAGUAAUUAAAACUCACCUAGAUGAAAGAUGAAUACAAAGAAGUUUUCUUUCUAAAGUGAUCUUGCUCUAUUUGAUCUUACCCACAGCGAAGAUCAGAUCUAUGGGAUCGCUCUGCACAUCGACAUAUGUGAGAGUCAGGUCACACAUCGACAUAUCCAAAUGCACAAGGAUCCCACGCCCUAUAAGUCAGUCAUUUGCUGACUUCCGUCGCUAACAUAAACGGACUAAAGAAACAUCACACUUCCACUGCCACUCUUUAUAAAGGUAAUGAUUAUGAGUGGUCAAAAUAUAAAACAUGAGUAAAUGAGUUUAUGGAGGCCAAGCUGAGCCUAACUGAGGUAUAGAUUGGCUCCGAUUGACUCGGUUCUUUUUGAUGGGUGGGCUCAAACUCGACUGUUGGUAACUGGAUGAGUUUGCAUUAGAUGGCAAAUUGCCAAAGCCUUGGAGCAGCUCAUAACAACUCAGUUGAUUUGCAGCCCUGCUAUUGGGGCGCAAUCCUCCUACUUUGAACAACUGAUUUUUUCUUCAUGCAACCCAACUGUACCAGGAAAUUCCUGCCGCCGUUUAGAAAUCAUUGCUUUUUCCCAUCUUUCCAAUUUCUUGAUUGGUAAAGACUCAAUAGAAUAACUCAAAGCCUAGCCAAACUACGCAUUAUCCAUGUGGGAAAUUAAUCCCCACAGUUUUUGUACUCUUUGAUUUGACCUUGAGCCCAAAACGUUUCAAACCUCUUAAAAUUUAAUGCCAGCUGAGGAAUACAAUCUCGAAUAAAAGGGAAAAACUUCACCACAAUUGGACCCUUCCUUAUCUCAGCAAUCUCUCCUAGAAUCGCACCUUUGAAGGGACGCACGUAUAAGUAUAUAUACAUAUCACACACACACACACACACACACACACAAGCAUAAAGUCCUCUCCUGUAUAAUGCAUGUGAUUCUGCCUUAAAUAUGAAUUACUUAUGAAAUGCGGCCCAUAACAAAAAUCAGUUC